CCUACGGGAGGCAGCAGUGGGGAAUAUUGCACAAUGGGGGAAACCCUGAUGCAGCAACGCCGCGUGGGUGAAGAAGUCUUUCGGUAUGUAAAGCCCUAUCAGCAGGGAAGAGAAUGACGGUACCUGUCUAAUAAGCCCCGGCUAACUACGUGCCAGCAGCCGCGGUAAUACGUAGGGGGCAAGCGUUAUCCGGAUUUACUGGGUGUAAAGGGAGCGUAGACGGUUGUGCAAGUCUGAAGUGAAAGCCCGGGGCUCAACUGCGGAACGGCUUUGGAGACUGUGUAACUGGAGUGCUGGAGAGGUAAGCGGAAUUCCUGGUGUAGCGGUGAAAUGCGUAGAGAUCAGGAGGAACACCGGCGGCGAAGGCGGCUUACUGGACAGUAACUGACGUUGAGGCUCGAAAGCGUGGGGAGCAAACAGGAUUAGAUACCCCUGUAGUC
rnacentral:rRNA from 1 species